UACGUAGGGACCAAGCGUUGUUCGGAUUUACUGGGCGUAAAGGGCGCGUAGGCGGCAUGACAAGUCACUUGUGAAAUCUCCGGGCUUAACUCGGAACGGUCAAGUGAUACUGUCGCGCUAGAGUGCGGAAGGGGCAAUCAGAAUUCUUGGUGUAGCGGUGAAAUGCGCAGAUAUCAGGAGGAACACCGGUGGCGAAGGCGGGUCUCUGGGCCGAUACUGACGCUGAGGAGCGAAAGCGUGGGGAGCGAACAGG
rnacentral:rRNA from 1 species